UACUUUUGCACCCGUCUUACAAGAGUUGUUCGACAUACAUAAAAAUCAUUUAAAUAAUAUUAGCAUG
rfam:Flavobacterium sp. LM5 Flavobacterium_sp_LM5_contig3, whole genome shotgun sequence.